rnacentral:rRNA from 1 species
UAACGCGUGAGGAACCUGCCUUCCAGAGGGGGACAACAGUUGGAAACGACUGCUAGUACCGCAUGACACAUGACCGUGGCAUCACGGACAUGUCAAAGAUUUAUCGCUGGAAGAUGGCCUCGCGUCUGAUUAGCUAGUAGGCGGGGUAACGGCCCACCUAGGCGACGAUCAGUAGCCGGACUGAGAGGUUGACCGGCCACAUUGGGACUGAGAUACGGCCCAGACUCCUACGGAAGGCAGCAG